UAUAGGGUCACAUUUGGAGGAGCCGGCUCCGUCGGGGGCAGGAGGGAGGAAGUGGUGGGGAGGCUCAGGGUGUGUCAGAUCCAGCCUCCCCACCUCUGCUGAGCUGGCGGCUGGACUCAAGGCCUGCCACGUCUUCCUGCUCUGCAGUGCACUAGCUGUGUGACCUUCUGCAAACUGGGUAACCACACUGCCUCCCCACCCCAUCUCCUCCAAGGUAAAGUGGAGAUUUUACCUGCUGCAAAAAGUUGGGUGAGGACUGAUGAGAGAAUGAGGGUUGAUAAGAGAAGGUGAAGGAAGAGAAGGGAAAAUGUGAAAGACAAUAUUCCAGUCUCCACUGAAUGUGUGGGCACUUCAGUCUCGUGGCAAGUUCAGGCCAAGGGGACAGCUGCUGAAAUGUGGGGGUCCAGGGGCUGCAGAGGGGUUCUGCUGCCUAGCAUUUAAAAGAAGAGGGAAGUAAAUAUUUCUGAGCAACCAUACAGCAUUGAAAGCGAAGCCUUAUCCAUCAUCCACGUCAAAGGGGCUGGAAAGGUCCGAAUCCACCUGAAUGACAACUAAAGUUUCGAGAAUGGGAAUGCAAAAGGGGAUUCAAAGGUAACAAAAUCCUUGUCCUUCCAUUUUCUUCUUCCGCACAAACAAAAGCAGUUUAAUGGCAUUGAUGGAACUGCGUCCCUCUCAUCUUCCCCUUGCCUGCUGUUGUACUCAAAGGUUCCAGAAUACAUGAGCGCAGCCCUACCUUAUUUUGAUGAACAGCUACAGCCACAGCAGAAAUCAACAGGGUUUGGAGAAUAAAUCUGAUAAAUCGUGUCCUUCAAAAAGAGGAAUUUAUGUAAUGCUUUCAGUUUUAUCUUGUAUGACCUACCCAUCAUGAAACUGGGAAACUGUAAUUUAUUUAUCCAGUGAAGACAAAAUUGAUUAACAGGUCAGUGUAAAUGUCAGCCUGGGGGAAUUAACAAAUGUAGUUCCACCGGGUCAGUUCUUGCCCA
rnacentral:lncRNA from 10 species